rnacentral:rRNA from 1 species
GGUUAAGCGACUAAGCGUACACGGUGGAUGCCCUGGCAGUCAGAGGCGAUGAAGGACGUGCUAAUCUGCGAAAAGCGUCGGUAAGGUGAUAUGAACCGUUACAGCCGGCGAUGUCCGAAUGGGGAAACCCAGUGUGAUUCGUCACACUAUCGUUAACUGAAUACAUAGGUUAACGAGGCGAACCGGGGGAACUGAAACAUCUAAGUACCCCGAGGAAAAGAAAUCAACCGAGAUUCCCCCAGUAGCGGCGAGCGAACGGGGAGCAGCCCAGAGUCUGAAUCAGCUUGUGUGUUAGUGGAACGGUCUGGAAAGUCCGACGGUACAGGGUGAUAGUCCCGUACACCAAAAUGCACAGGCUGUGAACUCGAAGAGUAGGGCGGGACACGUGGUAUCCUGUCUGAAUAUGGGGGGACCAUCCUCCAAGGCUAAAUACUCCUGACUGACCGAUAGUGAACCAGUACCGUGAGGGAAAGGCGAAAAGAACCCCGGCGAGGGGAGUGAAAAAGAACCUGAAACCGUGUACGUACAAGCAGUGGGAGCACCUUCGGGUGUGACUGCGUACCUUUUGUAUAAUGGGUCAGCGACUUAUAUUCUGUAGCAAGGUUAACCGUAUAGGGGAGCCGCAGGGAAACCGAGUCUUAACUGGGCGUUAAGUUGCAGGGUAUAGACCCGAAACCCGGUGAUCUAGCCAUGGGCAGGUUGAAGGUUGGGUAACACUAACUGGAGGACCGAACCGACUAAUGUUGAAAAAUUAGCGGAUGACUUGUGGCUGGGGGUGAAAGGCCAAUCAAACCGGGAGAUAGCUGGUUCUCCCCGAAAGCUAUUUAGGUAGCGCCUCGUGAAUUCAUCUUCGGGGGUAGAGCACUGUUUCGGCUAGGGGGUCAUCCCGACUUACCAACCCGAUGCAAACUACGAAUACCGAAGAAUGUUAUCACGGGAGACACACGGCGGGUGCUAACGUCCGUCGUGAAGAGGGAAACAACCCAGACCGCCAGCUAAGGUCCCAAAGUCACAGUUAAGUGGGAAACGAUGUGGGAAGGCACAGACAGCCAGGAUGUUGGCUUAGAAGCAGCCAUCAUUUAAAGAAAGCGUAAUAGCUCACUGGUCGAGUCGGCCUGCGCGGAAGAUGUAACGGGGCUAAACUGUGCACCGAAGCUGCGGCAGCGACACUAUGUGUUGUUGGGUAGGGGAGCGUUCUGUAAGCCUGCGAAGGUGGCCUGUGAGGGUUGCUGGAGGUAUCAGAAGUGCGAAUGCUGACAUAAGUAACGAUAAUGCGGGUGAAAAGCCCGCACGCCGGAAGACCAAGGGUUCCUGUCCAACGUUAAUCGGGGCAGGGUGAGUCGACCCCUAAGGCGAGGCCGAAAGGCGUAGUCGAUGGGAAACAGGUUAAUAUUCCUGUACUUGGUGUUACUGCGAAGGGGGGACGGAGAAGGCUAUGUUAGCCGGGCGACGGUUGUCCCGGUUUAAGCAUGUAGGCGGAGGUUCCAGGUAAAUCCGGUACCUUUUUAACGCUGAGGUGUGAUGACGAGGCACUACGGUGCUGAAGUAACAAAUGCCCUGCUUCCAGGAAAAGCCUCUAAGCAUCAGGUAACAUUAAAUCGUACCCCAAACCGACACAGGUGGUCAGGUAGAGAAUACCAAGGCGCUUGAGAGAACUCGGGUGAAGGAACUAGGCAAAAUGGUGCCGUAACUUCGGGAGAAGGCACGCUGAUAUGUAGGUGAAGCCCCUGCGGGUGGAGCUGAAAUCAGUCGAAGAUACCAGCUGGCUGCAACUGUUUAUUAAAAACACAGCACUGUGCAAACACGAAAGUGGACGUAUACGGUGUGACGCCUGCCCGGUGCCGGAAGGUUAAUUGAUGGGGUUAUCCGUAAGGAGAAGCUCUUGAUCGAAGCCCCGGUAAACGGCGGCCGUAACUAUAACGGUCCUAAGGUAGCGAAAUUCCUUGUCGGGUAAGUUCCGACCUGCACGAAUGGCGUAAUGAUGGCCAGGCUGUCUCCACCCGAGACUCAGUGAAAUUGAACUCGCUGUGAAGAUGCAGUGUACCCGCGGCAAGACGGAAAGACCCCGUGAACCUUUACUAUAGCUUGACACUGAACAUUGAGCCUUGAUGUGUAGGAUAGGUGGGAGGCUUUGAAGCGUGGACGCCAGUCUGCGUGGAGCCAACCUUGAAAUACCACCCUUUAAUGUUUGAUGUUCUAACGUUGGCCCCUUAUCGGGGUUGCGGACAGUGUCUGGUGGGUAGUUUGACUGGGGCGGUCUCCUCCCAAAGAGUAACGGAGGAGCACGAAGGUUAGCUAAUCCUGGUCGGACAUCAGGAGGUUAGUGCAAUGGCAUAAGCUAGCUUGACUGCGAGCGUGACGGCGCGAGCAGGUGCGAAAGCAGGUCAUAGUGAUCCGGUGGUUCUGAAUGGAAGGGCCAUCGCUCAACGGAUAAAAGGUACUCCGGGGAUAACAGGCUGAUACCGCCCAAGAGUUCAUAUCGACGGCGGUGUUUGGCACCUCGAUGUCGGCUCAUCACAUCCUGGGGCUGAAGUAGGUCCCAAGGGUAUGGCUGUUCGCCAUUUAAAGUGGUACGCGAGCUGGGUUUAGAACGUCGUGAGACAGUUCGGUCCCUAUCUGCCGUGGGCGCUGGAGAAUUGAGGGGGGCUGCUCCUAGUACGAGAGGACCGGAGUGGACGCAUCACUGGUGUUCGGGUUGUCAUGCCAAUGGCAUUGCCCGGUAGCUAAAUGCGGAAGAGAUAAGUGCUGAAAGCAUCUAAGCACGAAACUUGCCCCGAGAUGAGUUCUCCCUGAGACUUUAAGUCUCCUGAAGGAACGUUAAAGACGAUGACGUUGAUAGGUCGGGUGUGUAAGCGUAGCGAUACGUUGAGCUAACCGAUACUAAUGAACCGUGAGGCUUAACCUU